rnacentral:rRNA from 1 species
GAGUUUGAUCGUGGCUCAGGUUGAACGCUGGCGGCAUGCCUUACACAUGCAAGUCGAACGGCAGCAUGAUCUAGCUUGCUAGAUUGAUGGCGAGUGGCGAACGGGUGAGUAAUACAUCGGAACGUGCCCUGUAGUGGGGGAUAACUAGUCGAAAGAUUAGCUAAUACCGCAUACGACCUGAGGGUGAAAGUGGGGGACCGCAAGGCCUCAUGCUAUAGGAGCGGCCGAUGUCUGAUUAGCUAGUUGGUGGGGUAAAGGCCCACCAAGGCGACGAUCAGUAGCUGGUCUGAGAGGACGAUCAGCCACACUGGGACUGAGACACGGCCCAGACUCCUACGGGAGGCAGCAGUGGGGAAUUUUGGACAAUGGGCGAAAGCCUGAUCCAGCAAUGCCGCGUGUGUGAAGAAGGCCUU